GGUUAAGCGACUAAGCGUACACGGUGGAUGCCCUGGCAGUCAGAGGCGAUGAAGGACGUGCUAAUCUGCGAUAAGCGUCGGUAAGGUGAUAUGAACCGUUAUAACCGGCGAUUUCCGAAUGGGGAAACCCAGUGUGUUUCGACACACUAUCAUUAACUGAAUCCAUAGGUUAAUGAGGCGAACCGGGGGAACUGAAACAUCUAAGUACCCCGAGGAAAAGAAAUCAACCGAGAUUCCCCCAGUAGCGGCGAGCGAACGGGGAGCAGCCCAGAGCCUGAAUCAGUAUGUGUGUUAGUGGAAGCGUCUGGAAAGGCGCGCGAUACAGGGUGACAGCCCCGUACACAAAAAUGCACAUAUUGUGAGCUCGAUGAGUAGGGCGGGACACGUGGUAUCCUGUCUGAAUAUGGGGGGACCAUCCUCCAAGGCUAAAUACUCCUGACUGACCGAUAGUGAACCAGUACCGUGAGGGAAAGGCGAAAAGAACCCCGGCGAGGGGAGUGAAAAAGAACCUGAAACCGUGUACGUACAAGCAGUGGGAGCACGCUUAGGCGUGUGACUGCGUACCUUUUGUAUAAUGGGUCAGCGACUUAUAUUCUGUAGCAAGGUUAACCGAAUAGGGGAGCCGAAGGGAAACCGAGUCUUAACUGGGCGUUAAGUUGCAGGGUAUAGACCCGAAACCCGGUGAUCUAGCCAUGGGCAGGUUGAAGGUUGGGUAACACUAACUGGAGGACCGAACCGACUAAUGUUGAAAAAUUAGCGGAUGACUUGUGGCUGGGGGUGAAAGGCCAAUCAAACCGGGAGAUAGCUGGUUCUCCCCGAAAGCUAUUUAGGUAGCGCCUCGUGAAUUCAUCUCCGGGGGUAGAGCACUGUUUCGGCAAGGGGGUCAUCCCGACUUACCAACCCGAUGCAAACUGCGAAUACCGGAGAAUGUUAUCACGGGAGACACACGGCGGGUGCUAACGUCCGUCGUGAAGAGGGAAACAACCCAGACCGCCAGCUAAGGUCCCAAAGUCAUGGUUAAGUGGGAAACGAUGUGGGAAGGCCCAGACAGCCAGGAUGUUGGCUUAGAAGCAGCCAUCAUUUAAAGAAAGCGUAAUAGCUCACUGGUCGAGUCGGCCUGCGCGGAAGAUGUAACGGGGCUAAACCAUGCACCGAAGCUGCGGCAGCGACACUAUGUGUUGUUGGGUAGGGGAGCGUUCUGUAAGCCUGUGAAGGUGUGCUGUGAGGCAUGCUGGAGGUAUCAGAAGUGCGAAUGCUGACAUAAGUAACGAUAAAGCGGGUGAAAAGCCCGCUCGCCGGAAGACCAAGGGUUCCUGUCCAACGUUAAUCGGGGCAGGGUGAGUCGACCCCUAAGGCGAGGCCGAAAGGCGUAGUCGAUGGGAAACAGGUUAAUAUUCCUGUACUUGGUGUUACUGCGAAGGGGGGACGGAGAAGGCUAUGUUGGCCGGGCGACGGUUGUCCCGGUUUAAGCGUGUAGGCUGGUUUUCCAGGCAAAUCCGGAAAAUCAAGGCUGAGGCGUGAUGACGAGGCACUACGGUGCUGAAGCAACAAAUGCCCUGCUUCCAGGAAAAGCCUCUAAGCAUCAGGUAACAUCAAAUCGUACCCCAAACCGACACAGGUGGUCAGGUAGAGAAUACCAAGGCGCUUGAGAUAACUCGGGUGAAGGAACUAGGCAAAAUGGUGCCGUAACUUCGGGAGAAGGCACGCUGAUAUGUAGGUGAAGUCCCUCGCGGAUGGAGCUGAAAUCAGUCGAAGAUACCAGCUGGCUGCAACUGUUUAUUAAAAACACAGCACUGUGCAAACACGAAAGUGGACGUAUACGGUGUGACGCCUGCCCGGUGCCGGAAGGUUAAUUGAUGGGGUUAGCCGCAAGGCGAAGCUCUUGAUCGAAGCCCCGGUAAACGGCGGCCGUAACUAUAACGGUCCUAAGGUAGCGAAAUUCCUUGUCGGGUAAGUUCCGACCUGCACGAAUGGCGUAAUGAUGGCCAGGCUGUCUCCACCCGAGACUCAGUGAAAUUGAACUCGCUGUGAAGAUGCAGUGUACCCGCGGCAAGACGGAAAGACCCCGUGAACCUUUACUAUAGCUUGACACUGAACAUUGAGCCUUGAUGUGUAGGAUAGGUGGGAGGCUUUGAAGUGUGGACGCCAGUCUGCAUGGAGCCGACCUUGAAAUACCACCCUUUAAUGUUUGAUGUUCUAACGUUGACCCGUAAUCCGGGUUGCGGACAGUGUCUGGUGGGUAGUUUGACUGGGGCGGUCUCCUCCUAAAGAGUAACGGAGGAGCACGAAGGUUGGCUAAUCCUGGUCGGACAUCAGGAGGUUAGUGCAAUGGCAUAAGCCAGCUUGACUGCGAGCGUGACGGCGCGAGCAGGUGCGAAAGCAGGUCAUAGUGAUCCGGUGGUUCUGAAUGGAAGGGCCAUCGCUCAACGGAUAAAAGGUACUCCGGGGAUAACAGGCUGAUACCGCCCAAGAGUUCAUAUCGACGGCGGUGUUUGGCACCUCGAUGUCGGCUCAUCACAUCCUGGGGCUGAAGUAGGUCCCAAGGGUAUGGCUGUUCGCCAUUUAAAGUGGUACGCGAGCUGGGUUUAGAACGUCGUGAGACAGUUCGGUCCCUAUCUGCCGUGGGCGCUGGAGAACUGAGGGGGGCUGCUCCUAGUACGAGAGGACCGGAGUGGACGCAUCACUGGUGUUCGGGUUGUCAUGCCAAUGGCACUGCCCGGUAGCUAAAUGCGGAAGAGAUAAGUGCUGAAAGCAUCUAAGCACGAAACUUGCCCCGAGAUGAGUUCUCCCUGACUCCUUGAGAGUCCUGAAGGAACGUUGAAGACGACGACGUUGAUAGGCCGGGUGUGUAAGCGCAGCGAUGCGUUGAGCUAACCGGUACUAAUGAACCGUGAGGCUUAACCUU
rnacentral:rRNA from 1 species